rnacentral:rRNA from 1 species
AUACGUAGGGGGCGAGCGUUGUCCGGAAUUACUGGGCGUAAAGGGCGUGUAGGCGGGUGCUUAAGUCAGGUGUGAAAGACCGGGGCUCAACUCCGGGAUUGCACUUGAAACUGGGUAUCUUGGGGGCAGGAGAGGAAAGCGGAAUUCCUGGUGUAGCGGUGAAAUGCGUAGAUAUCAGGAGGAACACCGGUGGCGAAGGCGGCUUUCUGGACUGACCCUGACGCUGAGACGCGAAAGCGUGGGGAGCAAACAGGAUUAGAUACCCUGGUAGUCCACGCCAUAAACGAUGGGCACUAGGUGUAGGAGGUAUCGACCCCUUCUGUGCCGUAGCUAACGCAUUAAGUGCCCCGCCUGGGGAGUACGGUCGCAAGGCUGAA